rnacentral:rRNA from 1 species
UGAACGCUAGCGGCAGGCCUAACACAUGCAAGUCGAACGGUAACAGUGUAGCAAUACAGCUGACGAGUGGCGCACGGGUGAGUAACGCGUAUGCAACCUACCUUCAACAGGAGGAUAGCCCCGAGAAAUUGGGAUUAAUACUCCAUAAAGUGUGAGAGACACAUGUUUUUCAUAUUAAAGCUCCGGCGGUUGGAGAUGGGCAUGCGUGACAUUAGUUAGUUGGUGAGGUAACGGCUCACCAAGGCAUCGAUGUCUAGGGGUUCUGAGAGGAAAAUCCCCCACACUGGUACUGAGACACGGACCAGACUCCUACGGGAGGCAGCAGUGAGGAAUAUUGGUCAAUGGGUGCAAGCCUGAACCAGCCAUGCCGCGUGCAGGAAUGACGGCCCUAUGGGUUGUAAACUGCUUUUCUGUGGGAAGAAACCCCGUUACGUGUAACGGGCUGACGGUACCUCAGGAAUAAGCACCGGCUAACUCC